UAGGCACGGAAUUGGAAGGUGUGCAGA
rnacentral:piRNA from 1 species